CCGGAAUCCGACGCUCUCCCCAAGGACACAAGCCAUGCAUGCCCGCGCACCCGGGAGGGCGGCGGACGGCUCAGGACAACGGUUGCACCCCCCGCGGCGGUCCCUGCUAGCCGGACACCGCUGGCAACCCGGCGCCAAGACGUGCGCGCAAGGGCGGGCGCCCGCGGGCGAGCAGCGUGACGCAGCGACGGCCCGCCCGGGCUUCCGGGGCAUCACCCGGUCGGCGCGGUCGCGGCGCGCCGAGGGCCCGACGCCUGGCGGAA
rnacentral:rRNA from 1 species